GAUGAACGCUGGCGGCGUGCCUAAUACAUGAAAGUCGAGCGAACAGACGAGGAGCUUGCUCCUCUGACGUUAGCGGCGGACGGGUGAGUAACACGUGGAUAACCUACCUAUAAGACUGGGAUAACUUCGGGAAACCGGAGCUAAUACCGGAUAAUAUAUUGAACCGCAUGGUUCAAUAGUGAACGACGGUUUUGCUGUCACUUAUAGAUGGAUCCGCGCCGCAUUAGCUAGUUGGUAAGGUAACGGCUUACCAAGGCGACGAUGCGUAGCCGACCUGAGAGGGUAAUCAGCCACACUGGAACUGAGAACCGGUCCAGACUCAUACAGGAGGCAGCCAUAGGGAAUCUUACGCAAUGAGCGAAAGCGUGACGGAGCCACGCCGCGUGGGUGUUAAAGGUCUUCGGAUCGAAAAACUCUGUUAUUAGGGAUGAACAAAUGUGUAAGUAACUAUGCACGUCUUGACUGUACCUGAUCAGAAAGCCACGGCUAACUACGUG
rnacentral:rRNA from 1 species